UCCCCAAUCCCCCGCCUCUUCCCAGCGCCUCCCCACCUCUUUUCGCGAGCUGACAGUUCCACCUAGUGACCCCUCCGCCGCGCCCCCUCCCCUCGCGACGCAUUCUCCUCAGCUUUCUCCUCCGCGCACACAGCCCCACCGCGCGGUCGCCGCCGUCCUCGCCGCCGGUAUCUCGCGUCGGCCCUGCUGCCCCUGCAGAGCUCCGCCCCGAAGCCCUCCCCCGCGCGACUGCCGCUGAAUCCCGCUAGCUGGUCCGCCCCGACGCCCUCUGCGGGCGCUCCGCCUUCGCCGUUCACCGUCCGCGGGUGCCUCUCUCGUUGGCCGCCGGCCGCCCGGCGCGCGGCCGCGCGGGCUCCCAGGCGUUCCGCCGUCCGCUCUUCCCACUCGCGAGCACGGGAGCCUCUCGGAUCCCCGGCGCUUGCCCAAGCCUCUCUCCCCCGGCGCGUGAGCCGGGGAUCCGCGCGAGGUCGCGGCCCCGGUGCCCAAGGCGUCGCAGCCGUGCGCACACUGUGCCGCAGGGCUUCCGGCUGUCCGUGAGGGCGGUGGCGCUGGGAGCAGGCAUCCCGGUCCACAUCCGGAUUCGCCCUCCUCUCCCCUGGAUUGGCUCGUGCUCGAGCUUAACGCGUCCCCAUGCCGGAGCCCGCUGCCGUCGCGAGCAUCUCAGGCCCGAGCUCGCCCCACCUGACCUUCCUCCGUCUGCUCGAUCUGGCCGGCACAUGCGGCGCGCGUGCACUCCUGCUGAAGGGCCGGGUCUCGUGUGCGGCGUUGGUGCGGGAAGUGGCCGGUGGCGCUUGGAUUUGAAGAGGAAGGAAUCGGGCAGCUUGCUCGGUUGAGAGGAGCAAAGGAGAGGGAGGGAGACUGCUCGGUGGUGGAUGCAUCUCGGCCUGUACUUCCCCCAGGUUGCUGAUCUGAUUGGGCACCUUUCGUGGCCAAUCUCUAAGGUUGCUGAAAAUGUCUCCUGCAAUAUUGGAGAUGUCUUAUCGAGAAUCGGUGGGAAACUACCUUUUGCAGAAUACAACGGACUUGACAGAUUUUUUUUAGCUCUGGCAGAAAUAAAAAUGAAGAAGAGAAAUCUUUUAUUCAUGAGUAUGAGCUGAAAGGCUUGGCUUUCAGAGCUGCGAGACAGAUGUUUCUUUUUGGCGAAGUCAUAUAGUUCUGCUAGCAAAAGGGCAGAAGCAUAUGCAUUAUUCUGUCAUGAACAAACUCUCUCUGGUUUUUCACAGCAGCUUGCGAACAGUCCUGACAAGGCUUUAAUCCAAGAUCUGAAGUCUUUAUCCAACAAUUGUAGAUCCAAUAGCUGCAUAGAACAUGUGACGGGUAUUAUGGAGGAGUAUAGUGUUCCUUUAAAACUUUCAAAAGGAGUCUCAACUAUUUCACUUGAUGAUAAAACAAAGGUACUAAUGACAUACCGGUAUCUUGCACAAGAACAAGUAUCUUCUUGAUAUACUAGAGAGCUAUGAAUCAGCAAUCGGUGAGCCAAACACCAAAGGUCCAUGUCGCGUCGCACAAUUCCCAAUUUCCCACCGCCCUUCCAAACAGUGCCAUGCAAUCCAAUCGUGCUUGAUAUGGCAUACAACACGAUAGAAUGCCUUGAGAACCAAAUAAAGAAAGAGAAGAAGGGUCUUCUGCACCGGUUCUGGGGGUCAAAAGAAGACGGAAUUUGACCUCGUGCAUUUUGAUACAUUGUGCUUUUGUCAUUUGCUUUGUUUGCCAUGUGCAUGAACUCGUACAAAUAUAGAUGGUCCUCUCGUUAAUACUGCUUUUUGAUGGGUUAAAUUUU